GCAGGUGUGGUCGGGGCGGGACGGCGAGCUCGGCAGGCACGCGAUCGACGGCCUCUACCACGGCGACACCCGGUUCCUCCGGGCGACCGCGC
rnacentral:tRNA from 1 species